rnacentral:rRNA from 1 species
AUACGGAGGGUGCAAGCGUUGUCCGGAUUUAUUGGGUUUAAAGGGUGCGCAGGUGGUUUAUUAAGUCAGUGGUGAAAGACGGUCGCUCAACGAUUGCAGUGCCAUUGAAACUGGUAGACUUGAGUAAAGUAGAGGUGUGCGGAAUUGAUAGUGUAGCGGUGAAAUGCAUAGAUAUUAUCAAGAACUCCAAUUGCGUAGGCAGCUCACUUGGCUUUUACUGACACUCAUGCACGAAAGUGUGGGUACCAAACAUGAUUAGAUACCCUGGUAGUCCACACUGUAAACGAUGAUAACUAGGUGUCGGCCGAAUCUGGUCGGUGCCACAGCGAAAGCGUUAAGUUAUCCACCUGGGAAGUACGCCGGCAACGGUGAAACUCAAAUGAAUUGACGGGG